UUGUCUAUUGAAAAGGAGAGACGGUUAGCACUCCCCUUGACAAGGAUGGAACACAUGAACGGUUCUAAGAAGCUAAAAAAGGUUGGCAUAAACCUUUUUUAUAU